rnacentral:lncRNA from 1 species
GAUGCCAUCCAGGCGCACGGCGGGUAUAGUGGUUCCGCAACCUUGGGAUGUUCGGCUGAGCGCCUGCCUAACAUGGGAGCGCCUGCCUAACCCUCCUGACUGGAGGGUCAGCGGCGGGGAGUCCUGGCCUUCAAUCGGCCAUCGCCACGGCAGAAACUGGGGCCCGGGCUGCGUCCAGGCCCUUCCCCGUCCGUCCACAGGUCUCAUGGGCGCCCGGACUGGGGCUGAUGUAGUUUCCCGACCUCUGACACAUAGGAUCUGGAGAUUAAAGCUGCUCUGCUAAUAAUUAGGUUCCCACCUCUCAAGAUCAUUAGGAGCUUCUUUUCCAAUUCCUCUGUUUUGCAUGCAUUGGAAGGAUCUGGAGCUCAGGACCCACUACCUCCCCGGCCCACUGCAAGCUUGAACAUUUGAUGGUGGACACCCCUCCCUGACUUUGUAUUAUGAUUCACAGGCUGCUCCCCAGAAUACUGAAGAAGAAACUCUAGGAGUGAGACCCAACAAUCUGUGUUUAACAAGUCCCCAGGCCCCUGGAUCCUCCUGGAAUCCCUGAUCCCUGUUGCUCCCUGGCGGAGUUUUCUAGUCCCUCUUACUUGAAGCAUGUCUUUCAGAGCCCGGCACCACCCAAGUUGGGUAUCUGCUACACCUCUAUGGUAUUUUUUUCACCUCAUAUCAUACCUUCCUCCCUCACUGGACUUCAGUGUGGGACCUGCAGGUCUCAGGCCUUCUGGGAAGUCCCAGCUUUUCUUGAAUGUUCUCUCUCUCUGGCCAGCUCAGGCUGGAGCAGUGGGUGUUGGUGCCAUCCUGUGGCUAUAGGUGAUAAGCCGGCUGUUCUUCACUGACCUGGUCUUACCUUGAACCCUGGAGUUCUCACAUGCAUGGAUUUAAAUGCUGUGUCUUUCUAAGGGCACAUUAUGGCCAUUUUCCUUAUCUCCCUCCCAAGGGGCUGUUUCCUGUAUUUAUUGACUCCCUGUUUAAAAAAAAUAUAUGUAUAUAUAGACAAAUUGGAUUGUACCCCAUAAACUGCAUGUUUUAAAAAUACUUCAAAGAAUAGUUUUUCAUUUUUUUCUUGCUGGUUUUUAUGUAUCUUCUAAAUUGUAUAUAUUUAUGGGGUAUAAAAUGAUGUUGUGAUUUUUCAAUACAGUGUGGAAUGAGAAUCAAAUUAACCUAUCCGUUACCUCAAGUACUUGACUUUUUUUGUGAUGAGAAGGCUGUUUAUCACUUUCACUCACCAGCUCCUGCUGUCUUCCAUGCUGGGGACAGGAAAGGCUCCACGCUUGACUUUCCCUCCUGUUUUCUUAUCUGCUGUCAACCCCUGA